rnacentral:rRNA from 1 species
GGGAUAUUGCACAAUGGGGGGAACCCUGAUGCAGCGACGCCGCGUGAGUGAAGAAGCGCCUCGGCGCGUAAAGCUCUGUCAGCAGGGAAGAAGAUGACGGUACCUGACCAAGAAGCCCCGGCUAACUACGUGCCAGCAGCCGCGGCAAUACGUAGGGGGCAAGCGUUAUCCGGAUUUACUGGGUGUAAAGGGGGCGCAGACGGCGCGGCAAGUCCGGAGUGAAAUCCCAGGGCCCAACCCUGGGGCUGCUCUGGAAACUGCCGGGCUGGAGUGCUGGAGGGGCAGGCGGAAUUCCUAGUGUAGCGGUGAAAUGCGUAGAUAUUAGGAGGAACACCGGUGGCGAAGGCGGCCUGCUGGACAGCGACUGACGUUGAGGCCCGAAAGCGUGGGGAGCAAAC